AUUGAACGCUGGCGGCAUGCUUUACACAUGCCAGUCGAACGGCAACGAGGAGAAGCUUGCUUCUCUGUCGGCGAGUGGCGCACGGGUGAGUAUAGCAUCGGAACGUGCCAAGUAGUGGGGGAUAACCAAACGAAAGUUUGGCUAAUACCGCGUAAGCUCCAAGGAGGAAAGUAGGGGACCUAAAUAAGGCCUUACGCUAUUUGAUCGGCCGAUGUCGGAUUAGCUAGUUGGUGGGGUAAUGGCUCACCAAGGCAAUGAUCCGUAGCGGGUCUGAGAGGACGAUCCGCCACACUGGGACUGAGACACGGCCCAGACUCCUACGGGAGGCAGCAGUGGGGAAUUUUGGACAAUGGGGGAAACCCUGAUCCAGCCAUGCCGCGUGUAUGAAGAAGGCCUUAGGGUUGUAAAGUACUUUUGUUAGGGAAGAAAAGCUAGUUUUUAAUAAAAAUUAGUGAUGACGGUACCUAAAGAAUAAGCACCGGCUAACUACGUG
rnacentral:rRNA from 1 species